AUGUUUGGCCUGGUGGCCAACAUGUGUUUCGGCGACGACAUCGACAAUAACCGCGUCCGUGCCAUGGCCGACGCUCAGAGUGACCUCGUCAAGUCCCUAUCUACGGCGCGCGUGUUCGCGCAUGCGAAGCUCCCCGCACUGACCAGGCUCAUUUAUCGUAAUCGGUGGAAGAAGCUAGCCGCCCUGCGACAGCAGCAGGAGCAGACGUACCUACCACUCACCGACUCCCGUCGCGGCCGGCACCGGCGACCCAGCGAGACGCCGGUGUAUGUGGACACGCUCAUCGAUCUCAAGGUGCCGGACGACCACAGUCAGGACCCAAGGCGGCAUCGAAGAAGGCUGUCCGAUGGUGAACUCGUCGGCAUGUGCUCCGAGUUCCUUGGUGCUGGAACUGAAACGACAGCAUCAGCGCUGCAGUGGAUCAUGGCCAACUUGGUGAAGCGUCCUGACAUACAGGAGGCCGUCCGGAAGGAGAUCAAUGCCGUCGUGGGUGCGGACGCCGAGGAAGUCAGCGAGGUUGUUCUUGGGAAGCUGGAGUACCUGCACGCUGUGAUCAUGGAGGCACUCCGGCUGCAUCCGCCGACGUCUUUUGCAUUCAGGCAGGUGAUGGAAGAGGAUCAUGUGGUUCACAAUGGCCGGCGUAUUCCAGUGGGCACAAAAGUGUACUUCCCACUGGCUGCUAUAGCACGAGACAGGACAGCGUGGGAUAACCCUGACGAGUUCAAGCCACAACGGUUCCUGUCCUGCAAGGAUGCAUCCCAAGGAACCGACGGCACGAUCAAAAUGAUGCCUUUCGGCGGUGGUCGGAGGAUGUGCCCUGGUAGGGGUGUCGCAAUGCUGCACUUAAGCUACUUCACCGCCAACCUUGUGAGGGAGUUCCGGUGGAGGGAGGGAGAAGGUGAGCUUGCUGUCGAUCUCCAGCCGCAUGUUGAGUUCUUCACUGUCAUGAAGCGGCCAUUGCGUGCUCACCUAGAGCUUGAAAGGACAGAGAUCAAAACUAGUUAA
rnacentral:rRNA from 1 species